AUCGCUUCUCGGCCUUUUGGCUAAAAUCAAGUGUAGUAUCUGUUCUUAUCAGUUUCCGCCAGUCGAUGGGAAACGCUGGUAUGAGACUAGUGAGGAUGGGUGCUGCAUGGAGGGGGCAGGUGUAUCGGGGCUGGUUCUGAGGAAUCAGCUCGACGGCUGCCCUGAUGUGACCUGUUUACUCCGGGUUUCGCCAUGAGGUA